CUGGCUCAGGAUGAACGCUAGCGGCAGGCCUAACACAUGCAAGUCGAGGGGGUAACAGGCGGUGGCAAUACUGCGCUGACGACCGGCGCACGGGUGCGUAACGCGUAUGCAACCUGCCCGUAACAGGGGGAUAAAUCAGGGAAACUUGACCUAAUACCCCAUAUUGCCAAACCACCGCAUGAUGGGUUGGCGAAAGUUUCGAUGGUUACGGAUGGGCAUGCGUGACAUUAGCUAGUUGGUAAGGUAACGGCUUACCAAGGCGACGAUGUCUAGGGGAGCUGAGAGGCUAAUCCCCCACACUGGUACUGAGACACGGACCAGACUCCUACGGGAGGCAGCAGUGAGGAAUAUUGGUCAAUGGUGGGAACACUGAACCAGCCAUGCCGCGUGAGGGAGGAAAGGCCCUAUGGGUUGUAAACCUCUUUUGCACGGGAGUAAUAAGGCUCAUGCGUGGGCCGAUGAGAGUACCGUGCGAAUAAGCAUCGGCUAACUCCGUGCCAGCAGCCGC
rnacentral:rRNA from 1 species